UACGGGGGGGGCAAGCGUUGUUCGGAAUUACUGGGCGUAAAGGGCUCGUAGGCGGCCAACUAAGUCAGACGUGAAAUCCCACGGCUCAACCGUGGAAGUGCAUUCGAAACUGCGAGGCUGGAGUCCUGGAGAGGAAAGUGGAAUACUCGGUGUAGAGGUGAAAUUCGUAGAUAUCGAGUGGAACACCGGUGGCGAAGGCGGCUUUCUGGACAGGUACUGACGCUGAGACGCGAAAGCGUGGGGAGCAAACAGG
rnacentral:rRNA from 1 species